rnacentral:rRNA from 1 species
UACGUAGGGUGCAAGCGUUGUCCGGAAUUAUUGGGCGUAAAGAGCUCGUAGGCGGUCUGUCGCGUCGGCUGUGAAACCCGGGCUCAACCCGGGCCUGCAGUCGAUACGGGCAGACUAGAGUGCGGUAGGGGAGACUGGAAUUCCUGGUGUAGCGGUGAAAUGCGCAGAUAUCAGGAGGAACACCGGUGGCGAAGGCGGGUCUCUGGGCCGUAACUGACGCUGAGGAGCGAAAGCGUGGGGAGCGAACAGG